rnacentral:rRNA from 1 species
AUUGAACGCUGGCGGCAGGCCUAACACAUGCAAGUCGAACGAAUGGAGGACGGGUGAGUAAUGUAUGGGCAACUGCGUGAUGGAGGGGUAUAACUACUAGAACCGGUAGCUAAUACCGCAUAAGCUCCGAUGUACCAAGGUGGGAUUAGCUUGUGGGGGGGGUAACGGCUCCCCAAGGGGACGAUCCCUAGCUGGUCUGAGAGGAUGACCAGCCACACUGGAACUGAGACACGGUCCAGACUCCUACGGGAGGCAGCAGUGGGGAAGAUUGCACAAUGGGCGCAAGCCUGAUGCAGCCAUGCCGCGGGUAUGAAGAAGGCCUUCGGGUUGUAAAGUACUUUCAUCGGGGAGGCGUUACCCGCAGAAGAAGCACCGGCUAACUCCGUGCCAGCAGCCGCGGUAAUAC